rnacentral:rRNA from 1 species
UACGUAGGCAGCGAGCGUUGCUCGGAAUGACUGGGCGUAAAGGGCGCGUAGGCGGCUCAUGAAGGCUGUGGUGAAAGUCCGGGCUCAACCUCGGAUCGGCCGUGGCGACUCGUGGGCUGGAGCACUGUAGAGGCGGGUGGAAUUCCGGGUGUAGCGGUGGAAUGCGUAGAGAUCCGGAAGAACACCAGUGGCGAAGGCGGCCCGCUGGGCAGUGGCUGACGCUGAAGCGCGACAGCGUGGGGAGCAAACAGG